rnacentral:rRNA from 1 species
CGUGUAGGCGGCUUUGUAAGUUGGGUGUGAAAGCCCUCGGCUUAACCGAGGAAGUGCGCCCAAAACUGCAUGGCUUGAGUACCGGAGAGGGUGGCGGAAUUCCCGGUGUAGAGGUGAAAUUCGUAGAUAUCGGGAGGAACACCAGCGGCGAAGGCGGCCACCUGGACGGAUACUGACGCUGAGACGCGAAAGCGUGGGGAGCAAACAG